GACGUAGGGCGCGAGCGUUUGUCCGGAUUUAUUGGGCGUAAAGAGCUCGUAGGCGGCUUGUUGCGUCGACCGUGAAAACCCGCGGCUUAACUGCGGGCUUGCGGUCGAUACGGGCGGGCUGGAGUUCGGUAGGGGAGACUGGAAUUCCUGGUGUAGCGGUGAAAUGCGCAGAUAUCAGGAGGAACACCGGUGGCGAAGGCGGGUCUCUGGGCCGAUACUGACGCUGAGGAGCGAAAGCGUGGGGAGCAAACAGG
rnacentral:rRNA from 1 species